CCUCCUGGGUGGGCUGCCCCUGGGUCCUUCUGGCUCCGGCUGGCGGUUCCGGGUUUUAAACGCGCCUGGGGGUAAAGGCUCUCGGCACACGACGGGACCUCCAGCGCAGCCUCUCCUCGGAGGCUCCCCGCGGAGCAGGGAGGAGGCGCGGUUGCUGUUCUCUCUUACCGCCGGUAGAGGGCGCUGUGGGGCCCGGGCCUGCCGGGAGGCCCGAGGAGCGUCUUGGAAGGAGCCAGUUCCCAGAGUGCACUCGGGGUCCACAAAGCAACAGCUGGGCAGCUGUGGAGGAGCCGGGCCCGCGGGAGCAGGAGCUAGGCUAGAUUUGGGGCCGGGCCGCGGCGGCUGCGGAGGCGGAGGCAGCGCAGCUCGGGCCGGCCCUCCGGGGCUCACAGCAGCCCUCGGGUCCCUGUCCCCGCGCCCUCCCUCGGCUGACUGCCCUAACGCGGGUCCCGGAGCCGGGGCCGAGCCUGCCACAGGGAGCCCCCCGCGGGUGCCGGGAGCGGAGCGAGAGGAGGAAGGAGGAGGGGAGGAGAAGAGCCGGACGCGCCGGAGCCUUCCCGUCCGCGCAGCAGCCUCCCGGGGCCUAGGAGCGAGACCGAGGGCCAUGGCCGAGGCGGCGCCUGCUCCGAUUCCAGAAUGGGAAUCAGAGUGUACCACUUCACUGCAGUCUCUCCCGCUGCCAAGUGAGGCCCACCUGCAGACAGCAGCCAUCUCCCUGUGGACAGUUGUAGCAGCAGUUCAAGCUGUAGAGAGAAAGGUGGAGGUGCACAGCCGGCGGCUUCUGCAUCUGGAAGGGAGGACAGGGGCAGCUGAGAAUAAGCUGAAUAGCUGUGAAAAAACAGUGGCAGACCUUGGGAACCAGCUGGAGGGAAAAUGGGCCGUGUUGGGGACCCUGCUCCAAGAGUAUGGGCUGCUGCAGCGGAGGCUAGAAAACAUGGAGAACCUGCUGAGAAAUAGGAAUUUCUGGAUCCUCAGGCUUCCCCCGGGUAUUAAAGGAGAUAUCCCAAAGGUGCCAGUGACGUUUGAUGAUGUCUCCAUCUACUUUUCUACGCCAGAAUGGGAGAAGUUAGAAGAAUGGCAGAAGGAACUUUACAAGAACAUAAUGAAGGGCAACUAUGAGUCUCUUAUAUCAAUGGACUAUGCCAUGACACAACCUGAAGUUUUGUCCCAAACUCAACCAGAGUCACAACAGAAUACAGAGAACCAAGUGAGACCAGAUGAGAGUGAGAUGACUGCAGAGCCCAGCGAUGAGCCAGGCAUUUCCACAUCAGACAUUCUGUCCUGGAUUAAACAAGAAGACGACCCUCAGGUGGAAGGUCCACAGGACCCUGAGGAAAGUGACAUUUACAAAGGCACCUAUGCUGAUGAUGAGCUUGCUAUCAAAGCCGAAGGGCUUGCUGGAGGCCCUCUGUGUUCAGAUGCCCAGGUUACCUCUGCCAAUCCUCCAGCAGUGUCAAAAGAUGCUUUCCAGGAUGCAGCUUUCAAGAGCCAGCAUCCUCCACCCAUACUACCCUCUGGACCUCCACUUAAUAACCCCAUUGACCCCCUGGGGGGACAGGCUAGUUUCACCCAGAUGGCCAACCUUCCUCUUCCCACCCAGUCAGGGGAACAACAGCAACUCUUCCCUUGUCGUCGUUGUGGCAAGAAUUUUAAUCAGAAGGAAAUGCUGAUGGACCACCAGAGUAGUCAUGCUGGUGAGCGUCCCUUUGCGUGUGCCCAGUGUCCUAAGCGCUUUGCCCAACAGGCCAACCUCAGCAAUCAUGCCCGAGUGCACACAACUGAGCGGGCCCAUACCUGCCCACAUUGCUCCAAGAGUUUUGUGCACCCCUCUCGACUUACAUACCACCUGCGAGUCCACAGUGGUGACCGGCCCUUUCCAUGUCCAGAAUGCCCCAAGCGUUUUACUGACCAGUCUCGGCUCACCAGCCACCGACGUGGCCACUCUGGGGAGCGCCCAUUUCGCUGUGCGCAGUGUGGUCGGAGCUUCAGCCUAAAGAUUAGUCUUCUGCUGCACCAGCGGGGCCAUGCCCAGGAGCGCCCCUUCUCCUGCCCACAGUGUGGCAUCGACUUCAAUGGCCACUCAGCACUGAUCCGCCACCAAAUGAUCCACACAGGUGAGCGGCCCUACCAAUGUGGUGACUGUGGCAAGAGCUUCAUGCGUAAGGAGCACCUGCUGAAUCACCAACGGUUGCACACAGGCGAGCGUCCCUUCCACUGUGCCCACUGUGGCAAAAGCUUCAUUCGUAAGCACCACCUGAUGAAGCACCAGCGCAUCCACACAGGUGAGAGGCCCUACCCUUGUCCCUGCUGUGGCAAGAGCUUCCGCUACAAACAGACGCUUAAGGAUCAUUUGCGAGCAGGCCAGGAUGGAAGUUGUAGUGGUGAUGGAGAUGUACCAGGGCAGCCGCCAGAUCCCCCUGGCCUCCUCCUACCAGGGCUUGAGCCCACAGGCCUAGGGAUUGGAGCUGAUGGCCUAGAAACCAACCACUGGUAUGGAGAGGGGGGUGGAGGGAGUGUUUUGUAAAUCCUUCAUCUCUUGUUUAUCCAGUAAGUGGAGAAUCCCAAAGACAGGGAACCCAAGAUCAUUUUAAACUGGCUCUUCAGUGCAUUUUGGGCAUCAUACAUCUAACUAGGGACAUACCUGGUUGUUUGGAACUUCACAAUAUUGCAAAUAAUGAAGAUACAUUGUGAAAUUUGGAGGACCUUGAGAAGAGUCCACCCACCCUGUCCUUAUAAAGGAAUUACAUGAGCUGAAGAGGUGAUAAUGUUGCAGAGGCCGAAAGCAAGAAAUUGCUUUGGGAUAUAGACAUUAUUAAAUGAGAUAAUAAGCAGAAGAUGCUCUGAAAACUCUACAGCAUCAGUGUGGCCGUUGCCCAAAACACACUUGGAACUGAUCUUGCAGAAUGGAUUUCAGCACAGUCAGCUCUAGUAGGUGCACCACCCCUGUCAGCAGUAGUGUAGCAGAUUCAUCCUGAAUUCCUGAAGCCUCCUCCAGAGAAGCUCGUUUUUCCCAGCCCCUGCCUCUCCCAGAGGUGUCUUGCAUGAGUGAAUAAUAAGUGAGGGCACUGAAAGUACUUUUCCACUUAGGUCUCCUAAGGGGCCUAAAAACCUUCAAUACCAGAUGACCCAAGACCUGGGUCGCUUGGAGUGAGGAGUUGUCCUGCCAGGGGUCUCCACUGUGCCCAGCUGUUAGGCCUUAACAUAGCCCCAAGGCAGGAAAUUGAAAGGAGUGGGGAUGGAGGGAGAGAGUGACUGAUGAGAGACAUGGCUGCAGUUAUCCCAUUAUAGUUGGUCUAAAGGCUAAGACAGAAGAAAACCAGUCUCUUUAUAGGCAUGAUUCCCUUUCAUGUCCCACCCCACCUCCCCAAAAAAAAUCACUUGACCAGCUUUUUCUAACUCAUAAGAAUUGACCAGUCUGAUGUCUGUUUCCAAAUAUAAAAUCUGCUUUCAAACAAUGGAGAUUUGCACCAUUGAGGGUAUUCAAAAGAAUGUGCCAUAGGCUCUGAAGACAAUUACCAAUAAAUGACAUCCUCUACAAAUAUAUAUGAGCUCUUCAUGCAAAGGUAUAGGUACAUGAGGUCCAUAAUGCUUUUUCAGCUCAAGCCUCCCCAAUCUGGGUUCAUUUUAUUUUAAAGCUGCUAUCUAACUCCUUCACCUGCCAUUAUGAGGGUAGCCAUAUAACAUGUAGAGGUACUGACCCCAGAUGAGAAGUCCUCUUUUGCCCAACUUGUGGCAAUUUUUCAAAUUUUCCAUAAUUCUCUUGGAGUCCACCUCAGCACAGUUCUUGGAGUUUAUAUGGUCCUGUCACCCAAAUAAGUACCAAUGCAAAGUCAAAGUUCCCUGAGAAUAAAAACAUUGAGGGAAGAAUGAAUAUUUUCUCUGCAAAUUUUUUUUCAAAAGGAAAAAGAUGAUAAUUUUUUAAAACUGCUAUUAGUAGAAACCAGAAAACGUGGUCUGUAAGAAACAACAGGUUUUGUUUGGGUUUUUUUUUCAUAAGUAUAAAUAAAAAUGUUCACUGGAGGAGAACCCUGAAACUAGGUGAGUGGAAAAGUACUUUUAGUAAAAGGUAUAUGGUCCUUUGCAGAACUCUAAACUGAGUCAGACACUUCUGCAAUCAUCUCCUCUGCCUCUUUCUACUGUCAAGAUCUCUGUUGUCUUUAGACACUUGCUUCAUUUGCUGUGUUUGUAUUCAACCCAAUUAACCAAGUGACAUAAUUUCAUAGGUCUUUUCUAGAUUAACUUCUAUUAAAUUCAGUAUUUAUUAAAUGUCUAUUCUGUGUAUGACAUCAUGCUAAGUGCCCGGGAUACAAAAAUAGGUACAACACAGGCCUUACUCUUAAGAUACUAAAGAGUAAUUUAUCUUAAUGAAGCAUAGAUACAUAAGGUCUUUCUUCUCACUUAGAGGUCAGAAAUACAGCAGAAUGAUCCUUUGAUGUUUAUACUCCUUGAGAUAAGUAUUUCCUCCAGUGGUGAAAAUCACCAUGCAUCUACAGCUCAUCCUGGGUUACCCUUUUCCUCCCAUAAAUUCUCCAUAGUGGAUCCACUCAACCUCUUGAAAGCUUUUCUUUAGAUUUCUUGACAUAUGUGGCUAUCAAUGGAUUACAGGCUGUUCAUCUGUUAUUCCCCACUCUUAAUACAUAACUGACCUGUUGCCUUUUGGUCAUCAUCACUUUGAUGUCCUUUAUGCCAUUUCUGGUGUGCAAUUCUUCAUGGAUAAUUUGUAGUCCCCUACUUACAAUAAUCAGGUAUCUCUCUAUUGUUCUUUUUGGUGACUUGAAAUAAGAGAUGACAAAGUAUCCCAUUAUGUGUUGUUUUUUUGUGGCCUUUGGAUGAACAAUAAAACCAGUUUUACCAUUUCCUUUA